AGUAAAUCGAAGACUGAAAUGAUAAUGUUUGUCUUUAUCUGUGUACAACGGAGACUUUUCGGGGCUAUAUGAUCGCCCUGUGUAAAUACCGUAGAUGGGCAUUUGAUAUCUUUUUGGGAAUAGCUCUAAUCAAAUAUAAUAUAAGUAUAAAUAAAAUAUCAAACAUACAUUUUUGAUGGACCUAGUCUUCCCCUAAUUUCCGUCCAUAUGUCCAUAUGAUAAAAACGGAAUUACACCGGUAGUAAAAUUGAGUAUAAGACGUAGUCAGUCAC